rnacentral:piRNA from 1 species
UACACUGUGAUUUCAGCAACACUUGGAAAGG